GGAUCCUUAGUUCAAUGGUAGAUCGCCGUUUUGACCUGACGGAGACCCUGGUUCGAUUCCAGGCGGAUCCA
rnacentral:tRNA from 1 species